UGGUAGCGCCCUCCCGAAGGUUAAGCUACCUACUUCUUUUGCAACCCACUCCCAUGGUGUGACGGGCGGUGUGUACAAGGCCCGGGAACGUAUUCACCGUGGCAUUCUGAUCCACGAUUACUAGCGAUUCCGACUUCAUGGAGUCGAGUUGCAGACUCCAAUCCGGACUACGACAUACUUUAUGAGGUCCGCUUGCUCUCGCGAGGUCGCUUCUCUUUGUAUAUGCCAUUGUAGCACGUGUGUAGCCCUACUCGUAAGGGCCAUGAUGACUUGACGUCAUCCCCACCUUCCUCCAGUUUAUCACUGGCAGUCUCCUUUGAGUUCCCGACCGGACCGCUGGCAACAAAGGAUAAGGGUUGCGCUCGUUGCGGGACUUAACCCAACAUUUCACAACACGAGCUGACGACAGCCAUGCAGCACCUGUCUCAGAGUUCCCGAAGGCACCAAAGCAUCUCUGCUAAGUUCUCUGGAUGUCAAGAGUAGGUAAGGUUCUUCGCGUUGCAUCGAAUUAAACCACAUGCUCCACCGCUUGUGCGGGCCCCCGUCAAUUCAUUUGAGUUUUAACCUUGCGGCCGUACUCCCCAGGCGGUCGACUUAACGCGUUAGCUCCGGAAGCCACUCCUCAA
rnacentral:rRNA from 1 species